rnacentral:rRNA from 1 species
AUUGAACGCUGGCGGAAUGCUUUACACAUGCAAGUCGAACGGCAGCACGGACUUCGGUCUGGUGGCGAGUGGCGACCGGGUGAGUAAUACAUCGGAACGUGCCCAGUCGUGGGGGAUAACGUAGCGAAAGCUACGCUAAUACCGCAUACGAUCUAAGGAUGAAAGCGGGGGAUCGCAAGACCUUGCGCGAUUGGAGCGGCCGAUGGCAGAUUAGGUAGUUGGUGGGGUAAAGGCCUACCAAGCCGACGAUCUGUAGCUGGUCUGAGAGGACGACCAGCCACACUGGGACUGAGACACGGCCCAGACUCCUACGGGAGGCAGCAGUGGGGAAUUUUGGACAAUGGGCGCAAGCCUGAUCCAGCCAUUCCGCGUGCAGGAUGAAGGCCCUCGGGUUGUAAACUGCUUUUGUACGGAACGAAAAGGCUCUGGUUAAUACCCGGGGCUCAUGACGGUACCGUAAGAAUAAGCACCGGCUAACUACGUGCCAGCCGCCGCGGUAA